UCCAAUCGGAGUCUGAGCGAGGGGCAUUGCCUUCAGCUCUCAGCUCUGGCAUCAGAGCUUGUUGUUGUGGUUACCGACUCUCGAGUGCUGUGGGGUGUUGCACAAAUUGUUGCCAAUAUCCCCAGCUCUACCUCGUCUGCCACUGGUCACCAUGGCAGCGCCUCUUGGCCCUCAGUCUGAUCCAAGGGCAGAAAUCAGCCUCCUGGAAAUCAACCAGAUUGAGAGGGAACCUGGGCACAGGCUCUGCUUCCUGAGCCCACAGAGGCCACCAUUUGAUACCCAGUGGUAAGACUGAGGGUAUCUCAGGGAAUUUCAGACAAUCUGUGCUGCCUCCAUCUAUCUCUCCCGAAGCUGGGCAAACUUCGGUGAAGCAGAUUGGCGAGCAGGUCAAGUUCUGGGCCAAGAAACACGUGGCCAAGUGAGGAUGAGGGGUGUAAAGAGCUCACCGACAUCAUCGGACCCGUGCUGGGGGACAAGCUGCAGUUGGAGGAGGGGAAGCGGACAGAGGUGUUCGCUGAGCAGCUCAGGCAAUGUCAUAUCCUAAUUAAAGAUCAUGCUAAAGAGCUGACCGGUUGUAUCAAAAGUUACGGGGAGGGACAGAUAUUUCUGAACGCCUCAAUGAGCACCUCGAGGACCGCCUCACCCACCAUGACCCUGAGCAUUCUCGAGGGCAGGGUUUCCAAGAGCAGCUGCCUGAGGGAGGCAGGCUGGCCAAGCGCCUUGCCCGAAAGCUCAGUUCAGAAAAUUAUGACGAUGAGGAGGAUGAAGAAAAACAAGAAACACUCACCCCCAGGUGACCAUGAGUAUUCAGGCACCGGUAAUGUGUGGGUAAAAAUGGACAGGGCAAGGAUGCCUGGGUGGCUCAGUGGUUUGGCGUGAUCCCGCUGUCCCGGGAUCGAGUUCUGCACUGGGCUCCCCACGGGGAGCCUGCUUCUCUCUCUGCCUGUUUCUCUGCCUCUCUUUCUGUGUCUCUCAUGAAUAAAUAAAUAGCAUCUUUUUUUAAAAAAAUUCACAGGGCCUCAGAAAGGACUCUAAGUGAAGUCUAGAGAGUGCCAGAUGCAAGAAGCAAAACUAGACAUGGAAACAAUGGAUGGCCCCGUUAACUUGGUCGUCUGUUGUCUCUGUGGUACUUGUAAGAUCAAGAUGAAUUCACUAGCCUUAAGAUGCCCUGUAGCUACAAAAUACCCAUUCUUUCCUCUAAAUGAACACGAGGAAGAGGUGCAUAUCUAUUUCCUACACAAUUCUCUAAGGUCCUUGGUGGGCAGGUGAGUAGCAAAGGAAUUGGUAAGCAGACAACCGGCAAAAUGAAAAACCAAGAGAAGCACUUAACCCAAACUUGCAGUGUCAUGUGACACUAUUAUUACCAUGGUGGCUAGAAGGCACAAAUUUCUCCAGUCUGCGAGGACUCCAGAGCUGUAGCCGCCUGAUCAAUCUAUGUUAAAGCCCACACAACCCAGGCACGUGGUGGUUGCCCCUGGCCUGGUCUCCAUCUCUGCUUCACGUUGGGACUGUACCAUACUGGGAUGGCUGGCUCUCAUUCCUAGUCAGUCCCUCGGUCACCGGUGCACUGAGUAUCUGCUGCUGCUGCUCUGCCAUCCCUUGGCAGCCACACUCUGUCUCUUACUGGAUGGAUCGCUUCUUCCCUCUCAAGGCAAUGCCCCCCUCACCGCCCCCGCUACGCUUCUUGUGACCACUCCCUGUAACUCCACUCAAAACCACUUAGGAAACCAUGGUGUGGGAUCCUCUUGGUCCGAUCUUCUGUCAUUCCUGUCCUACCUCCCACAGCCUGGAGCAGCAGGAAAUUGAAAAGAAGGGGAUCCUCCAGGACCCACCGGAUGAAUGUGUUUUGACUCCUUCAAUUCUCCAAGACGGGAGUGAGAGCCACCAGGCUUCAUAAUGAUUAUUGGGAGGAAGAAGACCAAGGCCAGAUAUGCCCCCAGUACUCCCUGGAACACGAGGCUCCACAGGGAGCUGCCAGUGGCAGAAGAGAAUGAAGUCCCACAGGACUCACUGGAUGAAUCUUAUUGGACUCCUUCAGUUGGCCAUGACCUGCCAGACGCCUGCAGGCCUUAUACAAGUGCCUCAUUCACAUCUGAUAAGCAGGAACUCUUCUUGGGUCUUGAUGUGGACGACUACCCUCUGCCGCCUGCGCCCUCACUAUUGUGCAGUGCAGGCAUUGGUACCAAGACAGGAGAGAGGAGAAAUGAGGGAAAAAGGCAAAAACCCAGCCGCCACUAUGUCACCUGGAGACACCUGGGUUUGCAGUCAGCUCCAUAUUUGCACCAUCUAUUAUAUUUUUGCUGAUCCCAAAGAUUUGCUCCUGAGCUGCCCUCUGUAGCAUUUAGAUAGAAGAUCCUGAGCACCCAGCCCUGCCUGUACCCUGUGGUUUCAGUGAAGCUAAGGCUCUAGCUCUGGUUUUUCAUCCCCAUGGAUUGAGUACUUUGCACCCUCUGUGCAGCAUCAGUGAUUUUUCCACGUGUGGAUAUGGUUUCAGUCAGAUCACCCGAGGGCCCACAUGGCAGGGAGGAGGCACGGCUCCGACUGAAGCUGACCUGCUCUGGCGUGAGGGUGUUGCAAGUGUCUGGUUAGCCCCCUUUCUGAGAACACAUACUCCCUUCACAGUGGAAACCUGAGUGUGUUUGAUCACGGAGUGCUGCCCACACCUCCCUGAAGGGUGUGUGAUGCUGGGACUGGGUGCUUUGUGCCCUCCCUGAAGACCCACAGAGUCUGACCCUGGAGCACUUCUGGCCCUGGAAUCUCCUAAGGGACUCAGACCUCUGCUACAUUCCUUACAGCUGUCAGCGCCUCCUCCGGGUGGCAAUAGAACAUACAGGUGGGGUGGGUGGAAGGGCAGUCAAAAAUUGUACAUGAGAAAGUUCCAAAGGCUCCAGAGCCAAGAAAGGUGCUCCUGACUUGGUCCAUGGUACUUUUUCCCAAGUCCCUUUUCUAGUGGUACCUGAAGCCUCAAGGCCAAACGUCUUCCGUUGUUCUGUUAUCUUUCGGGUACACACUGACAUCUGCUUCUCCCCGUGCCCCCAGGCCUCUCUAGAAUGUUUUCUGUAGGCUAUAGGACGAAGGUUACAGGAUAAUAAGCAUGAGUUCCUGCGCCCAUCUAAAGGCCCUCUGGAGUCAAGGAGGUGAUUUUUGCUUCUGGGACUUCGCAGCCUGGGCACCUGCCGUCCCAGCGUUCCCAGGCACAGACAUAAUGCUCCCAUGCAGGUGCCCUGUCACCGGGGGCUAUUGAGGGGAAACUUGACUUUCCUAAGGGCAGAGGUGCAAACUUCAAGAGCACAGCCACAGCCCAGCACCAAGGAGGCCAAUUCUCUGCAGUUGCAGCUGGGCCAGCAGUUGGAUCGUGGUGACAACAGAGCCAGGCUCGACCUCUCCCCCACCAUCUGGAGCCUGGCAGCCAAGAUGGGUUCUGGGGACCAAAGGCCACUCUCCCAAGAGCUGGGUUUGGAUGCAUCCGUGGGCAUGACAAACCACACUCUCAAGCUGGAAGGUGAAACUGCUCUGAGGGCUCGGUGGCCAGUCAAUGUGAGUGUCAAGUCUUUGACCCCAUGAAGGCCCCAGGUGUCACGAAACACAAGAUUAUCAAGAGGAAACUGCAGUUCAUCCAGGGGCAACUUGCAUGCAGAUUUCCCGCCUUCAAGCUUAGGGCGCAGAGAUACCAAGUACCUCAGGAAAUAGGAGAAGAGAUUCCUCAUGUGAAUGAAAUCCUACCAUAGAACCCCAUCAUUUUCCACUUGAUGAAAAGAAAUCUAAAACAGUGCAGCAGGAAAAGCCCCAACAGAGCACGGAAGGGAUCCUUUGCUGAGAAUCAACAUCACAACCACAAGCCACUCUGUGAUUUUGACUGCAACACACGGUUUGACGAGAGAAAUUCUAGCCCUUCAGCCUCCACUCGUGAUAAAUCGCCAAGGAGACCAAUGCCUGACUGGAUCACGUGCAGGUUUGAGAGACCUUAAGUCUUGCUCCUCUCAAUUCCAUCCCGCGAUGAACCCGAGGACUCGGGAGCAACGUGGAAAAAGAGCACGUGUCAAACUGGACAUUCUGGGCCAACAGAUGGGCUGCGCUAGGAGCAGACAGCAUUAACUGUGCAGUGUUCCGGCCGCAAAGGGUUAGCCUGAAUUUGAGCACAAGGUAGGCAUCAGUCAACUUCAGGAUGUAGACCAUCGAACAAGACGCCUGUCUUUCUUCAAACAGUCAUUGUCACCACAAAUAAGAGACGACAAAAAGGAGAAGAGAUCUUUUGGGUUCCAAAGGACUAAAAAAGUGUGUCACUGUUUAGUCCUUUCAAGCCCAAGACAUCUCCUCACCUUUAGGUGGCUGUCUCUGGUGGUGGUGACAUUUCCUUGUUUGUAGGGGACAGGUCAGAUAUCCGUCUAAAUGGUCUACAUCCUGAAGUUGUCUGAUCCUGAUUAGGAUCAGGAAAUUAAAUUCCUCCUGAUUAAAUUCAGCCUAACCCUUUCGCCAGGGCACUCCAUAGUUAAGGCUCUGUGUGUCCCAGCUCAGCCCACCCGGAGACCGAGAGCGCCAGUUUGCCCGUCACCGUUCUUGCGAGAGCAGCAUGGGUCACGUGCUAUGGAGGGGCCCGAAGAUCUGUUCACAGGAACACAUGGUUUUCUCUCUAAAACUAGUAAUGUGGUGAGUGGAGCUCUGAGAAUGUAUGAAGAUCCUUUUCUGCAAAGUUUUUCUCUGAAAUGUUGUCAUCCUGUGAUGAUCCCUGUGGUGUGUCAUCACCGCAUCCGUGUGUGUACAUUGGAAGGAUUCUAACUUUAUCAUUCCUGUACAACGUGUAUUGGCUGGCAUUGUGCCGUGGAACACACUCCCUCCCCGCUCUACAUCAUUAGAGUUUUGGUUUUGGCGAUCACUGUGGCCUUGUGAAUUUUUGUAUUCGAUGCUCUAAUCCCUCACUCUCCUGGUUGAUUUGGUGGAUAUGGAUAUAAAGUGAUGUAAAUAUUCUGGGAUUUCAUCAUAUUUAAUGCAAAGUCUCCAUCUCUUGUAGGCUAUACUUACUCGAUGGGGAAAAAAAUCUGACCAUGUUCCUCUCUCUGUGGUAUUUCCUGUUUUCUGUGAGUGCACAUAUGUCGGCCUACAUGUGCCUUUGGUGUUUAGGAAGCUUGUCAUAGGCAGGGCCGAACAUUGCACCAACCGUUCUUGGACACGUUGGGUUCCGUAUUAAUUUGUCAUCCUUUUCACAUCCAGUCUCUAAGUUUUAAGUGAUCUCUCAACCUCAAAGUUUUGACAUUACUCUGUUUUCUCUUUUCUCUUGUCUUAACCUGCACUCUUAUCGUAUUGUUUCCACCCAGUAAACAGAUGCCAUUUACAUCCUAUUUUUCUCACCUGCUCCUUCCAGAUUUUUGUUUUAGAUCCGCACUUAAGUUUCUUUAAUGGUCACCAUCUGUUCGAAAGUCAAAAUGUCCCCAGUCCUCUCUCCUUGGGUGAAAUCUUUAAAUGACUCCUAGUGAUGGAAUGGGGACUCCCUGAGUGUUGCUGGAAUUAAAAUUUUUUAAAAUUGAAGAACAAUUUUAAAAAGAUGAAACAUUGCUUUGUAGAUUUCAUUGACUUGACUUCAUGUCAUUGGCCUGUGGUUGUCUUCCUCUACCCAAACAUGGGCAGUUCAAGGUCAUGGGUCAGUGGUGCUUGAUGUCCAUGGUGGAUGUGUCCGUGCUGUUGAGUGACAUAGAAGCUGAGGUUGAGAAGGCAGGGGAAAGUGAUGCCCUGAAGCACCUCCUCACUUCUUCAGCAUAUGUUCCCACCUACUACGUCUUAUGAGCCAGAGACUUAGGAGGUCCCUGAGGAAGGGGCCCUGAUCAAGGACAUUUUCAACUUCUAAUGUUUGUGGGUCCUGCUCCUGGGCUCCAGGGAAGCUAUGCCUCCACACUUACGGAGGUCAAAAUGACUCCACAAAAACUCAAAGCCUGGACUCUAUGUCUUCCCCAAGCACAUGUUGUACGUCUGCUUUAUUAAGGAAAAUAACCAAAAAGGGCCCCCCUGGGAAAGAUAAGAAAACAGGAAGAAGUGUACCUGGUUCCCAUAAGAUUAAAAUCAUUAUCGUAUAUCAUCACUGCAUAUAAUGGAAACUUAGGACCAGGAACUGCAGUGUCUCUGCAAAGUCUUUGUCUUUGUCUAACAAGUUUUAAAUUUUUAUGUAAAAAAUGUAGAUAACCCUACACCAAAUAUUCAUUUUCCAGAACACUCUCUUCUUUGUGAAGAUUGCCCAUCCCAGGCCACUGUCUUUUGGGCUCAAAUAAAA